AAGAAGUUCAAUCAAGAACAGUUGAAGCUCUUCAAGGGUAUCGAAAUCGUUAACUUCACUGGGAGAAGACUUAAAAAAGUCCAACAAAGGCGAGUAAAAUACUUGAAAAACUGCCACACUCAACGACGAAUCAAUUUUGCAAAUAUGAUUAACUGCUUUUUGAAUAUCUUCCCGAGCUUUAGAAUGAUUAACAAAAAUAUUACAUAGCUGUGUAACCAGACCAUUGGGAAAUUUAGAAAAUUUUUUUAUGUGAAGUAUAGUAUCAAGGGCCGAAGACAAAUUUUGAUAUCCCUUUUUCUCAAAAUUAAAUUUUGUUAAUAAAAUCUCGGCAUACUCUAAACGAAGGUCCUGAAGAAUCUUUGACCUAGCGUCAAAAUCCACGUUGUCCAAAGUCUCCUUUAAGUCCUUUUCAACAUUUUUCCACAACGCAUCUGCUUGAUUGGUCCCCGAUAAUUUCUGACAAUAUGCAAUAGCAGCAAGUAAAUCCUUUUCACUCCGUCUUUUUUGAGUAGAAACUUGAUUUAAAGAAGCGCCCUUGGAGUUUACAUUAAGAACCGAAAUAUCUUCUGAUCCGUCUUUCUCAUGCGAUGUAUUAGAGGUCGUUACAUCUGAAUAUAGUUUAGAAAGAUCUUCUUUGUUUUUAU